UCAGGACGAACGUUGGCGGCGUGCCUAACACAUGCAAGUCGAGCGAGGAGAUUCCUUCGGGAUGAUCCUAGCGGCGGACGGGUGAGUAACACGUGGGCAACCUGCCUCAUAGAGAGGAAUAGCCUUCCGAAAGGGAGAUUAAUACCUCAUAACAUUGCAGUUUCGCAUGGAACAGCAAUUAAAGGAGUAAUCCGCUAUGAGAUGGGCCCCGCGGCGCACUAGCUAGUUCGGUGAGGUAAAUGGCUCACCAAGGCGACGAUGCGUAGCCGACCUGAGAGGGUGAUCGGCCACAUUGGGACUGAGACACGGCCCAGACUCCUACGGGAGGCAGCAGUGGGGAAUAUUGCACAAUGGGGGAAACCCUGAUGCAAGCAACGCCGCGUGAGUGAUGACGGCCUUCGGGUUGUAAAGCUCUGUCUUCAGGGACGAUAAUGACGGUACCUGAGGAGGAAGCCACGGCUAACUACGUGCCAGCAGCCGC
rnacentral:rRNA from 1 species